rnacentral:rRNA from 1 species
CCUACGGGUGGCAGCAGUGGGGAAUAUUGCACAAUGGGGGAAACCCUGAUGCAGCGACGCCGCGUGAGUGAAGAAGUAUAUCGGUAUGUAAAGCGCUAGCAGCAGGAACGAGACAAGAAGGUACCGGACGAAGAAGCCCCGGCUAACUACGUGCCAGCAGCCGCGGUAAUACGUAGGGGGCAAGAGUUAUCCGGAACAACUGGGUGGAAAGGGAGCGGAGACGGCUGUGCAAGGAUGAAGUGCAAGGCGGGGGCCCAACCCCUGGACUGCUUUGGGCACGGGACGGCUGGAGUGCAGGAGCGGUAAGUGGCAUUCCUCGUGUCGCGGUUCCCUGCUUCUAUCUUCGGCGG